GGGCUACAAGACAGAAGCAAUCGGGAGCCCUGAAUCACCACUUGGAAGGGAGGUAAAGGGUCUGUCUCCAGCUGCCUUGGCAUCUGUUCCAACUCUCUGCCUUCUCCUCUCCCUCAAAUCUUUGAGUUCUUUGGGUAGAGCCAAGGGAUGCUUCUCUCACUUGGCCUUGUGCAAGCUCACUUGGAAAGCCCUCUGCUGCCCCCAUCAGUCAUCCUGAGGCAGCGCCCACAGACUCAAGCUUCUCUC
rnacentral:lncRNA from 1 species